rnacentral:rRNA from 1 species
CCUACGGGUGGCAGCAGUCGAGAAUCAUUCACAAUGGGGGAAACCCUGAUGGUGCGACGCCGCGUGGGGGAAUGAAGGUCUUCGGAUUGUAAACCCCUGUCAUGUGGGAGCAAAUUAAAAAGAUAGUACCACAAGAGGAAGAGACGGCUAACUCUGUGCCAGCAGCCGCGGUAAUACAGAGGUCUCAAGCGUUGUUCGGAAUCACUGGGCGUAAGGCGUGCGUAGGCUGUUUCGUAAGUCGUGUGUGAAAGGCGCGGGCUCAACCCGCGGACGGCACAUGAUACUGCGAGACUAGAGUAAUGGAGGGGGAACGGGAAUUCUCGGUGUAGCAGUGAAAUGGGUAGAUAUCGAGAGGAACACUCGUGGCGAAGGCGGGUUCCUGGACAUUAACUGACGCUGAGGCACGAAGGCCAGGGGAGCGAAAGGGAUUAGAUACCCCUAGUAGUC